rnacentral:misc_RNA from 1 species
AAGUCGUAACAAGGUAACCGUAGGUGAACCUGCGGUUGGAUCAUUAACAAAAAAAUUGGAAGGCUUUUCUGAAUACUCUUCGGGAAAGCCUUUUAAAAACACCAAUUUGUGAACUGUAUUAUUGUUUCUUUUCUGUGGUUUUAUCAUAUGAACUGUUUUUAAGUGUGUUUACGCGCGCUGGUUUGUGUGAUAGCCCAGAAAAAACCUUUUAAACUUAAGAUAUAUACCAUUUUGACCAUUUAAAAUAAAAGUUUUGAAAUUUUUUUAAACAUUAAAUAAAUUAAAAAAA